rnacentral:tRNA from 12 species
GACUUAAAAUCCGUCGAUUUUAAAAAUCGUGAGGGUUCAAGUCCCUCUAUCCCCC